CCUACGGUGGUGCUGCAGUGGGGAAUAUUGGACAAUGGGCGAAAGCCUGAUCCAGCCAUGCCGCGUGUGUGAAGAAGGCCUUCGGGUUGUAAAGCACUUUCAGUGGGGAAGAAAGCCUUGGGGCUAAUACCCUCGAGGAAGGACAUCACCCACAGAAGAAGCACCGGCUAACUCCGUGCCAGCAGCCGCGGUAAUACGGAGGGUGCGAGCGUUAAUCGGAAUUACUGGGCGUAAAGCGCGCGUAGGCGGUCUGAUAAGCCGGUUGUGAAAGCCCCGGGCUCAACCUGGGAACGGCAUCCGGAACUGUAAGGCUAGAGUGCAGGAGAGGAAGGCAGAAUUCCCGAGGUAGCGGUGAAAUGCGUAGAGAGCUGUAGGAAUACCAGUGGCGAAGGCGGCCUUCUAGACUGGCACUGACGCUGAGGUGCGAAAGCGUGGGUAGCAAACAGGAUUAGAUACCCCUGUAGUC
rnacentral:rRNA from 1 species